rnacentral:rRNA from 1 species
GACGAACGCUGGCGGCGUGCUUAACACAUGCAAGUCGAACGGAAGGGCCAUGCUUUUGUGGGGUGCUCGAGUGGCGAGCGGGUGUGUAAAACGUGAGUAAACUGCCCUUGUCUUUGGGAUAACUUCAGGAGACUGGGGCUAAUACAGGAUAGGAGAUCCUGCUGCAUGGUGGGGGUAGGAAAGUUUCGGCGGUUGGGGCUGGACUCGCGGCUUAUCCGCUUGUUGGGGGGGUAGUCGCUUACCAGGUCUUUGACGGGUACGCCGCCUGAGAGGGUUGACGGGCUCAUGGGGACUGAGGUACGGCCCAGACGCCAACGGUAGGCAGUGGUCGGGAACAUUGCACAAUGGGCCGAAGUCUGAUGCGGCAACGUCGCGUUCGGGAUGACGUCUUUUUGGUUGUAAACCGCUUUCGCCUUUGACGUAGCGUGAGUGACGGUAAUGAGUAAAGAAGCACCGGCUAACUACGUG